UGAUGACAACGUUCACGCGUUAACGUCAAACAAAUCAAACCACGCCCAUAACUGGCCAUAAAGUUAAUAUCUUCAGGCCUUACGUGCUCAGCAACCAUCA
rnacentral:antisense_RNA from 1 species